GUGCUAACAAGGCCCCCACGAAUUUCUGAUGGUGAUGCUUCAGCAAUGUAAACAGGAGCAGUGACAGAAGCAACACCAACUCCCAGACCUACUAAGAGUCGACCAAGUAUAAGAACGUAUGGAUCCGGAGCUGCAGCCAUUACCACUGAUCCCAGUAAGAAAACAACAUCAGCAGACAGAGUAGCUUUCUUCCGUCCAAAAUAAUCAUUAAUCCAGCCCCCAGCAGCAGCUCCAAUCAUCGCACCAACCAAUGCCAUACUGACAAUAGUUUCCUGUAGGAAACUGCUCUGAUUGACUUCAGGAAAAUCAUCCUUAAUGUACAGAAGUGCACCAGAUAUAACUCCUGUAUCGUAUCCGAAAAGGAGACCUCCAAUACCGGCGACGAAAGUUAAACCCAAUACAUACGGAUUGCUGAAGUAAGAAAU
rnacentral:misc_RNA from 1 species